rnacentral:rRNA from 1 species
GACGAACGCUGGCGGCGUGCCUAAUACAUGCAAGUUGAGCGCUGAAGGUUGGUACUUGUACCAACUGGAUGAGCAGCGAACGGGUGAGUAACGCGUGGGGAAUCUGCCUUUGAGCGGGGGACAACAUUUGGAAACGAAUGCUAAUACCGCAUAAAAACUUUAAACACAAGUUUUAAGUUUGAAAGAUGCAAUUGCAUCACUCAAAGAUGAUCCCGCGUUGUAUUAGCUAGUUGGUGAGGUAAAGGCUCACCAAGGCGAUGAUACAUAGCCGACCUGAGAGGGUGGUCGGCCACCUUGGGACUGCGACACGGCCCAAACUCCUACGGGAGGCAGCAGUAGGGAAUCUUCGGCAAUGGACGAAAGUCUGACCGAGCAACGCCGCGUGAGUGAAGAAGGUUUUCGGAUCGUAAAACUCUGUUGGUAGAGAAGAACGUUGGUGAGAGUGGAAAGCUCAUCAAGUGACGGUAACUACCCAGAAAGGGACGGCUAACUACGUG